UCAAAAUGGUACGCACAAAAAUCCAACCCGACUCCAGACGCACCACGACGACGCCCUAGCCUCGUUCCGUUCCUCCCCUGCUGACGCCGCCGCCGCCCGAUCCCUUUCACCGCUCAUCUUUGCCGUUGCCGCAGGCGGAGCCGCCGCUUCCCUGAUACAUUUUCAGAAUAGAUGGGUAAGGCAAAGCGUGGAUCAAUAUUUAUUAGGUUGGUCUCAGCUGCUGGAACUGGAUUUUUUUAUGUUAAGCGAAAGAAUCCUGGGAAGAUGACAGAAAAACUCGAGUUCCGCAAGUAUGAUCCGCGAGUGAACAAGCAUGUUCUCUUUACAGAAGCAAAGAUGAAGUGAGGUCCUACUUUUCUCUUGAUUUUCUGUAAGUGGCACUAUAUGCUCUGGCUGAAUUGCUAAAGACGUGGUGAUCUAAAAUAAUAUUUCUGUGAUGUUAGUUACCUUUGUCCGUCGAUCUUUGCUGGCACAAGAAAAACUCAAGUUCCACAAGUUUGUGCCUUCUGAACUAACUGUUUCUCAUUACAAAGGCAAAAGACGAAGUGAGGUCCUAAUUUUCUCUUUCUAUACAUAGUGGCAAUAAUUGUUAUGUGGAAUUUCUAUAAACAUGUGAUGCUCUAAUAUAAUACCUUUCAAUUUAAGUUGCUCA